rnacentral:rRNA from 1 species
UUUUAAUAUAUUUAAAAUAAUUUAUGUAAUUUUUUUUAUUUAAAGUAUUAAUUUAAAUAAUUUGUUUAUGUAAAUAAAGAAUUAAGUUUGUAGUAAUGAAAAUGAAAUUAAUUUAAAAAUUUAUAAGUAGAAAUAAGUUUUUUACCUUUUGUAUCAGGGUUAAUUAAAAUUAAAAAAUUUAUUAAUUUUAAUCUCGAAAAUUAAGGAUUUAAUUGUAUAUGUUAGUUAAUGUUUCAAUAUUAUUAAAAAUAUAUAGUUAUAGGUGAAAUAUUAUAAAAUUAAUUGAUAUCUGGUUUUUUUUGAAUUAAAUUUAAUUUAGGUAAUUAAAAUAAUAAUGAUAUAUAAUUUUUAUUUAUUGGUUUAAUUACAAAGGUAUUGGGGGAUAAACUUUAAUAUUUAUUAAAAUAAAUAAAAUAGGCAUGUUUAAUACUAAAAAUGAAAUUUUUUAUGUAUUUUAAGUUUUUUAUAAAUUAUUAGAUGAUAAAUAAUAAUUUAAUUAGUUUUAAUUAGUUUAAGGAAAUAUUUAAUUAAAUAGAUUAAUUAAAAUAAUAAUGAUUAAAUUAGUAAAAUUAAUAUUUUAAGAAGUUAAAUAAUGUUUAAUAAUUUUUUAAAAUAAUUCGGCAAAUUUAGGUUUACCUGUUUAAUAAAAACAUGUCUUUAAGAGAAAAAUUUAAAGUCUAAUCUGCUCAAUGAUUAAAUUAAAUAGCUGCAGAAUUUUAACUGUACUAAGGUAGCAUAAUAAAUUGUUUAUUAAUUGUGAACUUGAAUGAAUGAUUAAAUAAAAUCUAAACUGUUUCUAAAAAAAUAAUUAAAUUUAAUUUUUAAGUUAAAAAGCUUAAAUUAGUGUGUGGGACGAGAAGACCCUAUAGAUUUUUAUAUUAAUAUAAUUAAAGUAUUGAUAAUAAAAACCUGAAUUAUAUUAAUAUUUUAAUGGGGCAUUAAAGAAAUAAAAUAAUUUUCUUUAAUUUUGGUAACUAAAAUAAUUGAAUAAGUGAAUAUAUUAAAAUAUAAAAGAUAAAAAUACCUUAGGGAUAACAGCAUAAUAAUUUUUUUAAGUUCAUAUUUUAAAAAUUGAUUGUGACCUCGAUGUUGAAUUAUGAUUUAAUUUAAUAGAAGAAUAUUAAAAUUUUAGUCUGUUCGACUAUUAAAAUCGUACAUGAUUUGAGUUGAAAUCGGUGUGAACUAGAUUGGAUUCUAUCUACAAAAUUAGGAUAAAGUUUUUUGUACGAAAGGACUGAAGUUUUUAAAUAAUUUAAAUGGUUUGAUUAAGAUUAAUUGUAUAGUAAAAAA